rnacentral:rRNA from 1 species
UGGUCAGAACGAACGCUGGCGGCAGGCUUAACACAUGCAAGUCGAACGCACCGCAAGGUGAGUGGCAGACGGGGAUAACGCGGGAAUCUACCUAGUCUUCGGAAUAGCUCCGGGAAACUGGAAUUAAUACCGAAUGCGCCCUACGGGGGAAAGAUUUAUCGGUGUUAGAUGAGCCCGCGUUCAUUAGCUAGUUGGUGGGUAAUGGCCUACCAAGGCGAGGGCAAUAGCUGGUCUGAGAGGAUGAUCAGCCACACUGGGACUGUUAUCUCGGCCCAGA